GCGUCGGUGGUGCAACGGCUAGCAUACACUCCCUGGAAGAAGUGAGAUCCGGUUCGAAUCCCGGCUGACGCG